GACGUAGGGUCCGAGCGUUGUCCGGAGUUACUGGGCGUAAAGGGCGCGUAGGCGGCUUUGUGCGUCACCCGUGAAAGCCCCCCGGCUCAACCGGGGAGGGUCGGGUGAAACGGCGGAGCUGGAGGCAGCGAGAGGCUGGUGGAAUUCCCGGAGUAGUGGUGAAAUGCGUAGAGAUCGGGAGGAACACCGGUGGCGAAGGCGGCGACCUGGGUAGAUACUGACGCUGAGGUGCGAAAGCGUGGGGAGCAAACAGG
rnacentral:rRNA from 1 species